rnacentral:rRNA from 1 species
AUUGAACGCUGGCGGCAGGUCUAACACAUGCAAGUCGAACGAGAGGCGGACGGGUGAGUAAUGUCUGGGAAAGUGACUGAUGGAUGGGGAUAACUACUGGACACGGUAGCCAAUACCGCAUACCAUCGGAUGUGCCCAGAUGGGAUGAGCUAGUGUGUGGGGUAAAGGAUAAACUAGGCGACGAUCCCUAGCUGGUCUGAGAGGAUGAACAGCCACACUGGAACGGAGACACGGUCCAGACUCCGACGUGAGGGAGCAGUGGGGAAUAGUGCACAAUGGGCGCAAGCCUGAUGCAGCCAUGCCGCGUGUAUGAAGAAGGCCUGCGGGUGGUAAAGUACUUUCAGCGGGGAGGCGGUACCCGCAGAAGAAGCACCGGCUAACUCCGUGCCAGCAGCCGCGGUAAUAC